rnacentral:tRNA from 3 species
CGGAGUAUAGCUCAGCCUGGUAGAGCACUGUCUUCGGGAGGCAGGGGUCGUAGGUUCGAAUCCUGCUACUCCGACCA